GGAAGGAUCAUUACUAGAUCGCUCACCAUUUCAUUAUGGUUUGAGCAAAGAUCCAACCACCCUUGUCAAUUGUUUGUUGUCUUUGGUAACCUUUGUGCUCAGCUGGCCAGCAUGGCCCGGCUUUGGACGUCCUUUAGCCUCGAUUGCAGGCUCUCUGGGGGUUACCGCUGGCCCCAGGGGGUCGUUACGAGAGAAGUCCUCUUGUGCGAUCUUCCGAGGUCAUCAAAACAAAAAAGCCCUUUCAUUAGAACAUUUAUCGUGACUGAAUUUAUAAACUAUUUCUUUAAACAAAAUGGUAUACAACUUUUGGCAACGGAUCUCUUGGCUCUCGCAACGAUGAAGAACGCAGCGAAAUGCGAUAAGUAGUGUGACUUGCAGAAUUCAGUGAAUCAUCGAAUCUUUGAACGCACAUUGCGCUCUCUGGCAUUCCGGAGAGCAUGCCUGUUUGAGUAUCGGUAAAUCCUCUCGAACCAAUUUUUUUUUUUGGUUUGGAUAUGAGUUAUCCCAUCUACACUUUUUUUUUUCCAACGAAAAGUUUUUUCUGGGUGACUUUAAAGGAAUUGUUUGGCUCGCAACACCGAAAAGAAAAGGGUCCGGGCGACCGAAAAGCGUGACAAGGACUCUUUCUAUUUUGGAAAAGUUUUCAAGACGCUGAACUCGUGUCGUUUUCUACGGUUCCCCGCGGUGUCGCGGCUUGCCUUCUCCCAACUUUUACCCAACACAAACCGUCGUCUUUUUCGGCGCUUGUGAACUUGAUCUCAAAUCAGGCAAGACUACCCGCUGAACUUAAGCAUAUCAAUAAGCGGAGGAAAAGAAACUAACAAGGAUUCCCCUAGUAACGGCGAGUGAAGCGGGAACAGCUCAAAUUUGAAAUCUGGGAGGUUUGCCUCUCCGAAUUGUAGUUUAGAGAAGUGUUUUCGGCGGCGGCCAGGGUAUAAGUCUCUUGGAACAGGGCAUCAUAGAGGGUGAGAAUCCCGUCUUUGGCCCAUGGUCUGCUGCUAUGUGAUACACUUUCAAAGAGUCGGGUUGUUUGGGAAUGCAGCCCAAAAUGGGUGGUAAAUUUCAUCUAAAGCUAAAUAAUGGCGAGAGACCGAUAGCGAACAAGUACCGUGAGGGAAAGAUGAAAAGAACUUUGAAAAGAGAGUUAAACAGUACGUGAAAUUGCCAAAAGGGAAACGCUUGAAACCAGUAUUGUUUGCGGGAAAUCAGUCAGGCUUGUCGACUUGUUCAUGGCUUUUGGACCGCAAGGCCAAGUUAUGGAUAAAGGAGGUUCAGCCUGGUGCACUUUUCCGUGAACAGGUCAACAUCAGUUUGACUUGCGGGAAAAAGGUCAAGGAAAGGUAACCCCCUCCGGGGGGUGUUAUAGUCCUGAUUUAUACCGUGGGUUAGACUGAGGAUCGCAGCGCAGGCUUCUUGGCGGAGAACCCAGCCGUUGCCUUGGCCUUUUUCGCAGACAGCGUGCUGACUGUCGAGAAAUGCGUCGGGGCACGCGGUUGGUUCACUACCUCUGUGCUUAGGAUGUUGACGAAAUGGUUUUAAACGACCCGUCUUGAAACACGGACCAAGGAGUCUAACAAAUAUGCGAGUGUUUGGGUGGUAAACCCAUACGCGUAAUGAAAGUGAACUUUGGUGGGAUCUUCGGUGCACCAUCGACCGGUCUGGAUAUUUUUUGAAAGAUCUGAGUAAGAGCAUAUCUGUUGGGACCCGAAAGAUGGUGAUCUAUGCCUGAAUAGGGUGAAGCCAGAGGAAACUCUGGUGGAGGCUCGUAGCGAUUCUGACGUGCAAAUCGAUCGUCAAAUUUGGGUAUAGGGGCGAAAGACUAAUCGAACCAUCUAGUAGCUGGUUCCCUC
rnacentral:misc_RNA from 1 species